UGUGAAGUGGACACAAGUUAUGGGAGGAACUAUAAGGAAUGUCACCUCAAGGUCACUGCAGUGAAGGAUCGACCCGAACCUGAGACAACGAGUGACACCAGACUGAGAGGAGAUCCUCGGGGAUGGAUCGGCCUCUACUGGGCACUGGGACUGACAGCAGCUCUACUGGUUCAUUAUUCAUUUUAUCUCUACAUUACCAAAAGGAUGAGAGAUCAGUACAACAAACAAUACAUCAAAACCACAAUUAAAGUCAUUGAUCCUUUAAAUGUUUCGCACAGAAACAGUCUGAGUUGUUCUGACUGAAGUCCAGCUGAGACACAUCUGGAUCUUUGGAUGUCUCCUGUGUGUCUCAUGGACCAACAGCAGCAUGAAGGUAUCAGUGAGUCUACAGAGACACUUGUGACUCAGGGAGCCCAGCUGGUGAACGCUGAGCCCUCGUUGUGUCUGUGAAGGUCAGUUAGUUUAGUUUCAUCAGGACCAAACUGAAAUAUAUAUUUUUUCAAUAAAGCAUCUUAAAAACCCAAA